rnacentral:rRNA from 1 species
CACGUAGGGGGCAAGCGUUGUCCGGAUUUAUUGGGCGUAAAGAGCUCGUAGGCGGUUUGUCGCGUCUGCUGUGAAAUCCCGAGGCUCAACCUCGGGCUUGCAGUGGGUACGGGCAGACUAGAGUGUGGUAGGGGAGACUGGAAUUCCUGGUGUAGCGGUGAAAUGCGCAGAUAUCAGGAGGAACACCGAUGGCGAAGGCAGGUCUCUGGGCCACUACUGACGCUGAGAAGCGAAAGCAUGGGGAGCGAACAGG